ACACCUGAACACCGUGGAGUUGGUGCACCUCUGCUCCACUGCCAGUGGGCACUGCCCUGCCAACAGCUUGGCAAGGCCAUGCAGCAGGAAUUUCACCAAAGAUUUACAGGCGGUACAGCUGCCACUGCUCUGACACGUAUUCCAUGAACUGCUGCCCCUUAACCAGGAAAGGCUCCUUGAACUCCUGCUCCCAGGCUUCGACCUUUCUCUCCAGCUCCUCCUGCAGCUGAUCAGGACAUGAGCUGCCUGGCCAGCUGACACCCACCAUCAUAGAAGG